AGUGAACGCUGGCGGUAGGCCUAACACAUGCAAGUCGAACGGCAGCACAGUAAGAGCUUGCUCUUACGGGUGGCGAGUGGCGGACGGGUGAGGAAUACAUCGGAAUCUACUUUUUCGGGGGGGAUAACGUAGGGAAACUUACGCUAAUACCGCAUACGACCUACGGGUGAAAGCAUGGGAUCUUCGGACCUUGCGCGAUUGAAUGAGCCGAUGUCGGAUUAGCUAGUUGGCGGGGUAAAGGCCCACCAAGGCGACGAUCCGUAGCUGGUCUGAGAGGAUGAUAAGCCACCUUGGAACUGGGCCACGGUCAAGACUCCUACGGGAGGCAGCAGUGGGGAAUAUUGGACAAUGGGGGCAAGCAUGAUCCAGCCAUACCGCGUGGGUGACGAAGGCCUUCGGGUUGUAAAGCCCUUUUGUUGGGAAAGAAACGCAGCAGGUUAAUACCCCGCUGUUCUGACGGUAACCAAAGAAUAAGCACCGGCUAACUUCGUG
rnacentral:rRNA from 1 species